AACGAACGCUGGCGGCAUGCCUAACACAUGCAAGUCGAACGAGACCUUCGGGUCUAGUGGCGCACGGGUGCGUAACGCGUGGGAACCUGCCCUUAGGUUCGGAAUAACUCCCCGAAAGGGGUGCUAAUACCGGAUAAUGUCUUCGGACCAAAGAUUUAUCGCCUUUGGAUGGGCCCGCGUUGGAUUAGCUAGUUGGUAGGGUAAAAGCCUACCAAGGCGACGAUCCAUAGCUGGUCUGAGAGGAUGAUCAGCCACACUGGGACUGAGACACGGCCCAGACUCCUACGGGAGGUAGCAGUGGGGAAUAUUGGACAAUGGGCGAAAGCCUGAUCCAGCAAUGCCGCGUGAGCGAUGAAGGCCUUAGGGUUGUAAAGCUCUUUUACCCGGGAUGAUAAUGACAGUACCGGGAGAAUAAGCUCCGGCUAACUCCGUG
rnacentral:rRNA from 1 species